rnacentral:rRNA from 1 species
UACGUAGGGGGCAAGCGUUGUCCGGAUUUAUUGGGCGUAAAGAGCUCGUAGGCGGUUGGGCAAGUCACGUGUGAAAUCUCCACGCUCAACGUGGAGGCGCCACGUGAGACUGCCCUGACUCGAGUCCGGUGAGGGAGCGUGGAAUCCCGGUGUAGCGGUGAAAUGCGCAGAGAUCGGGAGGAACACCCGUAGCGAAGGCGGCGCUCUGGGCCGGUACUGACGCUGAGGAGCGAAAGCGUGGGGAGCAACAGG